AGUGAAAAUUGACAUGUUGCCUCUCUGACUGCCUGUGUGUGACUGCCUGGGUCUCCACCACAACCCCCAACACCUCUGACUCACUACCACCACCAUCACCUCCUCGAUCAAGGCCUCCGCUUUGCCAACGACUCCUGACUGAAGCCCAGGAGUCUGUCGUUCUUCUCGGCUUGUUGUCUUCAUCUUCUCCCCCCCUGCGGUCUUGUAACACCUCCAGGCUGCUCCACAAGGCUCUGCUCUGUCAUUGGGGAGCUGUUGGGGGCUUAGCUAAGUCGAGUUCUAUUGGUUAAGGUUCAGGUCAGGAUGGGUUAGGUUGGGUUAAGUUGUAUUGUGAAGUUCAUAAAGUUUUAGCCUCUCAAGGUUAAAAUUAGUGAAGUUUUUCAUAAUCUGACUUGAAAAAAUUAUAAAAACUCUUAUUUUGUUUCAGUCAAGCAAAAUUUUAUGAUUGGUCGACGUUACUUAGCCAGAAACCAGUAGAAUUUUUCAUAAUCUGACUUGAAAAACUGAUAAAAACGCUAAUUUUGUUUCAGUCAAGCAAAAUUUUACGAUUGGCCGACGUUACUGAGCCAGAAACCAGUAGAAUUUUUCAUAAUCUGACUGAAAAACUGAUAACACUAAUUUGGUUUUCAGUCAAGCAAAAUUUUAUGAUUGGCCGACGUUACUGAGCCAGAAACCAGUAGAAUUUUUCAUAAACUGACUCAAAAAAAUGAUAAAAAAAGAGAGAUUUCAGUAAGUCGGCUGCGAUUUUACCAUCAACCGACAUUCAAGACUCAAAAACCCCAGCAAGAAUUUUCAUAACAACUCAAAAAAACUAAAAAAAUAAAUAAAUAAAAAAAAAUCACUCAUUUAAUCUUAAAAUCCAAUGAAGGCAAUUUAGAAGUUUCAUUGCAAAGAUUAAGACCAGUAGUCAGUCAGUCAGUCAGUCAGUCAGUCAGUCAGUCAGUCAGUCAGUCAGCCAGUCAGUCAGUCAGCCUCUGUACAUAAAUUAGUGGGCGGCCAUUGUUCGUAUGUCUGUGUAUAAGUGAAGAGGAUAAUAAAUGUGUUUGUUUAUUUGUGUGUGUGUGUGGGUGUUUUAUUCCUUGUGUGAGAGAGAGAGAGAGAGAGAGAGAGGUUUUAUGCUGUUUUGUGUGUGUGUGUGAGAGAGAGAGAGAGGGAGACUGUUUGUGUGUUAGAGAGAGAGAGAGAGACUGUUUGUGUGUGUGUGUGUGUAUGUGAGAUGUGUGUUUGUGCAUGUGUGUGUUAGAGAGAGAAAGAGAGAGAGAGAGAGAGAGAGAGAGAUUCAUACACACACAUACACACACAGAAAAGAGAAGAUAUUUUUUAUAGCAUUUUUUUUUGUUCAGUUUGGCGAAUGCUGAAAAUUGGAAAAAAAAAACACAAAGAAAUGUUUAAAUUAUGUCCUUUCAUUUAUUCUCUGUUUUCAGGUAAAAAUUUAUAAUAUUUUUGAAAGAGUGUCUUGUGUGUUGCUGUUAUUGAGGAGUAGUGAAGAUUGCCAGGGAAUGUUGGGAGGAACUGUCUUUUUUGUUGUUUAUUUAAUUUUUUUAGGUAAAUAUUUGUAACUUUAUUUAUUGGGUGUUAAUUUGAAAGUGUCCUGUGUUGUUGUUGUUGUUAUUGAGGAGUAGUGAAGAUUGCCAGGGAAUGUUGGGAGAAUUUUUUUUUUUUGUUUAUUUAAUUUUUUUAGCUAAAUAUUUGUAACUAUUUAUUGUGUGUUAAUUUGAAAGAGUGUCCUGUGUGUUGUUGUUAUUGAGGAGUAGUGAAGAUUGCCAGGGAAUGUUGGGAGAAAUUUUUUUGUUGUUUAUUUAAUUUUUUUAGCUAAAUAUUUGUAACUUUAUUUAUUGGUUGUGUUAAUUUGAAAGAGUGUCCUGUGUGUUGUUGUUAUUGAGGAGUAGUGAAGAUUGCCAGGGAAUGUUGGGAGAAACUGCCUUUUUUGUUUAUUUAAUUUUUUAGCUAAAUAUUUGUAACUUUAUUUAUUGGGUGUUAAUUUGAAAGAGUGUCCUGUGUUGUUGUUGUUAUUGAGGAGUAGUGAAGAUUGCCAGGGAAUGUUGGGAGAAAUUUUUUUGUUGUUUAUUUAAUUUUUUUAGCUAAAUAUUUGUAACUUUAUUUAUUGGUUGUGUUAAUUUGAAGGAGUGUCCUGUGUUGUUGUUGUUAUUGAGGAGUAGUGAAGAUUGCCAGGGAAUGUUGGGGGAAACUGCUUUCAUUUAUUUAUUUAUUUAUUUAUUUAUAUAUUUAAUUUUUUUUUAUCUAGGUAAAUGUUUCAGAUUUUUUAGUUAUUUAGUAUUUCAUUUGUUUAUUUAUUUAUUUUUCUCAUUUUUUGCUCAAUUUUUCGAACAUUUUAGUUAUCUAGAUAGUAUUUCAUUCAUUUAUUUAUUCAUUCAUUUAUUUAUUCUCAUUUUUAGGUUAAUGUUUUGGACCUUUUAGUUAACUGGGUAGCAUUUCAUUUACUUAUCUAUUUAUUUAUUCAUUUUUCUCAUUUAAAGGUAAAUCUUUCGGACAUAUUUAAUUAACUGGACGGCAUUUCGUAAGUUUUGCGUUGUGUGGUGUCCGUCUCCCUCACUGACUUUCACAAGCUGUACUGAAGAAAUUGGGUGAACCAGAACAGAAAGAAUGCAAAAUUUAUCCAAAGGUUCCCUCUUUUAACGUUACGUCGGAAAGUACGUCAUAACUUCUGUGUCCCGUGGGUGUCUGGACAGGUUGUGCUACCAGUCAUCUCCAGGGUGUAGCAGAAGUUGUUGGAGGGUGAUAGAACUGGUGACAAGGGUGUUUUUGAUGUUUUUAAAGUAUAUUGUAGCAUUUGUGUUCUGUGGGGUGUGGACAUAUCUUGCCAGUCAUCGUAGAGCUACAGUGGAAGUUAUUGGAGGUUAACAGACAGUGACAAGCUGAUUUCAAGGGUGUUUUUGAUGUUUUUAAAGUAUAUUGUAGCUUCUGUGUUCUGUGGGGUGUGGACAUAUCUUGCCAGUCAUCGUAGAGCUACAGUGGAAGUUAUUGGAGGUUAACAGACAGUGACAAGCUGACCUGAUGACUUCGGGGUGAACUGACCAAGAGGUGAUCGCUGGGAACUGAACAGAAACAGUGACAAGUUUACCUGAAGACCGCAGAAUGGACUGGCUGAGAUGCCCAAGGGUGUCCAAGAACCUGUAGCCUUCGUUUAGAAAGCCAAGUGACAGCACAGUUCAUGACUUGACAAGGAGGAACAAGAACUGACACACAAGGAAUGGUAGCACAGGUCAACAGCAGAAACAAGGAAUGACUUUACAAGGAACAAGAACUGACACACAAGGAAUGGUAGCACAGGUCAGCAGAAACAAGGAAUGACUUUACAAGGAACAAGAACUGACACACAAGGAUGGUAGCACAGGUCAGCAGAACCAAGGAAUGAAUUUACAAGGAACAAGAACUGACACACAAGGAUGGUAGCACAGGUCAGCAGAACCAAGGAAUGACUUUACAAGGAACAAGAACUGACACAAAGGGAAUGGUAGCACAAGUCAGCAGAAACAAGGAAUGACUUUACAAGGAACAAGAACUGACACACAAGGAUGGUAGCACAGGUCAGCAGAACCAAGGAAUGAAUUUACAAGGAACAAGAACUGACACACAAGGAUGGUAGCACAGGUCAGCAGAAACAAGAAAUGACUUUACAAGGAACAAGAACUGACACACAAGGAUGGUAGCACAGGUCAGCAGAAACAAGAAAUGACUUUACAAGGAACAAGAACUGACACACAAGGAUGGUAGCACAGGUCAGCAGCAGAACCAAGGAAUGAGUAUUGACAAGAACCAAGAAGUUAUCUCAGGCCAGCAGGAGAACCAAGGAAUGACUGUUAACAAGGAGAACCAGAAGAUUAUAACAUUAUUCAUAUCUUUUAUUAAUGUAAAGGAAGAUAUGUGCCCCCCACUCUCCCUCUCUCAAGGAAAUGGAGAGGAGAGGUGAAAGUAUUGAAAUAAAUUAACUAAAAA